rnacentral:rRNA from 1 species
UACGUAGGGGGCAAGCGUUAUCCGGAAUUAUUGGGCGUAAAGAGUGCGUAGGUGGUUACUUAAGCGCGGGGUUUAAGGCAAUGGCUCAACCAUUGUUCGCCCUGCGAACUGGGUUACUUGAGUGCAGGAGAGGAAAGCGGAAUUCCUAGUGUAGCGGUGAAAUGCGUAGAUAUUAGGAGGAACACCAGUGGCGAAGGCGCCUUUCUGGACUGUGUCUGACGCUGAGGCACGAAAGUGUGGGGAGCAAACAGG